rnacentral:rRNA from 1 species
UACAGAGGGUGCGAGCGUUAAUCGGAAUUACUGGGCGUAAAGCGUGCGUAGACGGUUAUUUAAGUCGGGUGUGAAAGCCCCGGGCUCAACCUGGGAAUGGCGGUGGAUACUGAGAAGCUGGAGUACGGUAGAGGAAGGUGGAAUUCCCGGUGUAGCGGUGAAAUGCGUAGAGAUCGGGAGGAACAUCAGUGGCGAAGGCGGCCUUCUGGACCAGUACUGACGCUGAGGCACGAAAGCGUGGGGAGCAAACAGG